rnacentral:rRNA from 1 species
CUUCUGCCACCGAAUACAUUAGCAUGGGAUAAUGGAAUAGGACCCUGUCCUCCUAUUUUGCGUGUUGGUUUUCGAGGACCGGGUAAUGAUUAAUAGGGAUAGUUGGGGGCAUUAAUAUUUAAUUGUCAGAGGUGAAAUUCUUGGAUUUAUGAAAGAUUGACUUCUGCGAAAGCAUCUGCCAAGGAUGUUUUCAUUAAUCAAGAACGAAAGUUAGGGGAUCGAAGACGAUCAGAUACCGUCGUAGUCUUAACCAUAAACGAUGCCGACCAGCGAUUAGGAGACGUUGAAUACAAAACACCACCGUCGGGUCGGCCGUCCUU